rnacentral:ncRNA from 2 species
GCCUUGAAGCGGGGGUGCCCGGCGAAUGCCGGGCUGAGAGAGUCCCUUGGAACCUGAUCCGGCUAGCACCGGCGUAGGGAGCUUGCAGCACCAUCGC